rnacentral:lncRNA from 1 species
GUAUUUCCGCGGGCGCUGAGCACUAGAGAGAGCGUCUUGUGGCUGCGGCCUGCCCCUCAGCCUCCUCCGCGCGGUUACCCCUGUACCCGCCGCCAUCCGUCCUGGCGCUCCGGAUGAGUCAAUGAGGGGCAGGGCCCGAGGAGUGGUCUUCCCAAGAACCCCUGGUGGCCUCCCAAGGCCGGUGCUGUGUACCUCCUCCCCGACAAAAGGGGAAACUGAGGCCCCGAGGGGAGUGGGAAGAGCCGGCUGGACGUCAGGCCCAGCCGCUGGUGCAGUGGCCUCGUGGGCUGUGCGGCUAUCCUGGAGACAGAUGACAGCUCUCCCUUGGAUGGCUUUGCUGGUUCCGCACCAGCCAGCGCCCCCAUUUUUCCUGCAGCACCCUGAUCUGCACUCCCUGAGGGGCUCCCACUGUCCGCGGUGUGAGGAUGUCCCUGGAUAGUCCACUGUGUGCAGAGGCAUGGGAGUUGUCAUGUUGGGAACAUGCUAGACCUCAGUAUCCUUGAGGGAUGCUGCCUUGGGUCUGGAAACUGUUAGAGGAAACCCCAAGAGGUGCAGGCACUGAGCCUCUCAGGACAAUGACCUGGGGUCCCAGCUCCCCUGGAGGGGCCUCCUCAUGAUUGUUUGGGGGUUGAUCACAGACCAAGAGUGACGAGUGAUGUCACCCUGUGACUCAUGGCUGGACCUUCUUGCCCCUAUUGUCUCAGCACAACAUUAUUCGACUUUUCCCUCAGCGUGGGUGGGCAGAGGAAAAGCCCUGUGGCUCUGGGGACUUGGGAUCCAGAGUUGAAGACCCUUCAGCUGGCUCUGCCCUGCCAGUGCCACAGAGUGCCAUGGCCCAGGAAGACAGGUUUUCUUCCAUCUAGGCCAGGCCAUCCAGUGGCCAUCCUCCGUGUCCUCCCGCCUCCUCCUGGUGUGACUUCUGAAAACCAAGAAUUUGUUCCUGUUGACUUUUUCUGUGCUAUGGACCAUUGUCCUCUCACCCACUCAAUAAAUCUUGAAACAUGCCCUGCUGCUUGUUCUUUCA